rnacentral:misc_RNA from 1 species
GAUGAAGAACGCAGCGAAAUGCGAUAAGUAAUGUGAAUUGCAGAAUUCAGUGAACCAUCGAAUCUUUGAACGCACAUUGCGCCCGCCAGCACUCUGGCGGGCAUGCCUGUCCGAGCGUCAUUUCAACCCUCAGGGCCCCUUCGGGGGACCUGGCGUUGGGGAUCGGCCCGCCCCCGUGCGGCGCCGUCCCCGAAAUAUAGUGGCGGUCUCGCUGCAGCCUCCCCUGCGUAGUAGCACACCUCGCACUGGAGAGCGGCGCGGCCACGCCGUGAAACCCCCAACUUCUGAAUGUUGACCUCGGAUCAGGUAGGAAUACCCGCUGAACUUAAGCAUAUCAAUAAGCGGAGGA